UACGGGGGGGCAAGCGUUGUUCGGAAUUACUGGGCGUAAAGGGCGCGUAGGCGGUGCUCUAAGUCGGAUGUGAAAACUCUGGGCUCAACCCAGAGCCUGCAUCCGAAACUGGAGUGCUAGAGUUCUGGAGGGGGUAGCGGAAUUCCUGGUGUAGCGGUGAAAUGCGUAGAUAUCGGGAAGAACACCCGUGGCGAAGGCGGUUCUCUGGGACGGUACUGACGCUGAGACGCGAAAGCGUGGGGAGCGAACAGG
rnacentral:rRNA from 1 species